AUUGAACGCUGGCGGCAUGCUUUACACAUGCAAGUCGAACGGUAACAGGCCGCAAGGUGCUGACGAGUGGCGAACGGGUGAGUAAUGCAUCGGAACGUGCCCAGUCGUGGGGGAUAACUACUCGAAAGAGUAGCUAAUACCGCAUACGAUCUAUGGAUGAAAGCGGGGGACCGUAAGGCCUCGCGCGAUUGGAGCGGCCGAUGUCAGAUUAGGUAGUUGGUGGGGUAAAGGCUCACCAAGCCAACGAUCUGUAGCUGGUCUGAGAGGACAACCAGCCACACUGGGACUGAGACACGGCCCAGACUCCUACGGGAGGCAGCAGUGGGGAAUUUUGGACAAUGGGCGCAAGCCUGAUCCAGCAAUGCCGCGUGCAGGAAGAAGGCCUUCGGGUUGUAAACUGCUUUUGUACGGGACGAAACGGCUCUGGUUAAUACCCGGGGCUAAUGACGGUACCGUAAGAAUAAGCACCGGCUAACUACGUG
rnacentral:rRNA from 1 species